AUUAGUUUUUUUCUAAAGCUUAUUCGAACUGAGUGACAGAAAAAACGUUCGGCGUUUCGCAGCGUUUCCGGUGCGCAAAAUGGCUUCCAAAGCAACAAACCUGUAGCGAAGCAUGAUCGAUCCAUCCUCUCAGCUUCAGUUCUGUGCUACAUCUCAGACUGAAUCUAAUCUCUGUUGUGACAACCUUAGAGACUGCUGUAUGUGAACUAGUUAAAUCGCACAUUUAAUUCGAAUCAAGGAACGGAAUGCAUUGAACAUAGAAGAAAGGACAUGAAAGCAAAAUAAUUUCUUUUUCCCAAAGGAACUCUUUGAAACCAAAAUGCACUUUGGCUUGCCUGAAUUCACUCGUAGAUUUUCCCGCUAAGGAAAGUUUCAGAUGGUGUGAUCUCGAUCUUAUCAAAGAAAUUCUUCAGAUAAGCCUGAAAUGGAAAACGAAAAGCAAUUGGAUUGUGAGGUUGAAACUUGAAAGGGAUGCUCCCUGUACACGUCGCUAGUUCCCUUCUUUGGUUGAAGCAUUUAAUGAGCAGUUUAUGGCUUUGUCUGAAAACUCAAGCUAUUGUCAAGUUGAUAUGAAGCUUCAAGGUUGAUUGACCAUCUCUCUGCACCACUGGAAGCAUGUCCUCAUUUUGGUGGUUUAUGUCAAGGCCGUGUGGAAUUGCCCUGAGCACAGGGCAAACGCUAGCAAUUUAGAGGCCUUUUACUUGCCUUUAUAAACAAUUUAUGAACUUUUGACGUAUUGUUUUCUAGUUGUUAGGACUGAGUUAUGUUUCCUCUUAGGAUUGAUGGUUGUUAUUUUCUUUUUACUUCUAUCUGAAUAAUUUACUGUUUCUAAA